rnacentral:rRNA from 1 species
UACGUAGGGCGCAAGCGUUGUCCGGAAUUAUUGGGCGUAAAGAGCUCGUAGGCGGUUUGUCACGUCGGAUGUGAAAGCCCGGGGGCUUAACCCCGGGUCUGCAUUCGAUACGGGCAGACUGGAGUGUGGUAGGGGAGAUCGGAAUUCCCGGUGUAGCGGUGAAAUGCGCAGAUAUCAGGAGGAACACCGAUGGCGAAGGCAGCUCACUGGGACGGUACUGACGCUGAGGCGCGAAAGCGUGGGGAGCAAACAGG